rnacentral:tRNA from 3 species
GGGCGGGUAGCUCAGCGGGAGAGCAUCGGCCUUACAAGCCGGGGGUCACAGGUUCAAACCCUGUUCCGCCUACCA